rnacentral:rRNA from 1 species
AGAGUUUGAUCCUGGCUCAGAACGAACGCUGGCGGCCUGCUUAACACAUGCAAGUCGAACGAUGGCUUCGGCCAUAGUGGCGGACGGGUGAGUAGCGCGUGGGAACCUGCCCCGAGUACGGAAUAACCGCUGGAAACGGCGGCUAAUACCGUAUGAGCCCUGAGGGGGAAAGAUUUAUCGCCUUGGGAGGGGCCCGCGUCCGAUUAGGUAGUUGGUGAGGUAAAGGCUCACCAAGCCUGCGAUCGGUAGCUGGUCUGAGAGGAUGAUCAGCCACACUGGGACUGAGACACGGCCCAGACUCCUACGGGAGGCAGCAGUGGGGAAUAUUGGACAAUGGGGGCAACCCUGAUCCAGCAAUGCCGCGUGAGUGAUGAAGGCCUUCGGGUUGUAAAGCUCUUUCACCCACGACGAUGAUGACGGUAGUGGGAGAAGAAGCCCCGGCUAACUUCGUG